rnacentral:rRNA from 1 species
GAUGAACGCUGGCGGCGUGCCUAACACAUGCAAGUCGAACGGAGUCCAGCCUUUAAGACCUUCGGGUCAAAGAGGGGAAGACUGAGUGGCGGACGGGUGAGUAACACGUGGGCAACCUGGCUCAUAGAGGGGGAUAACAGAGAGAAAUUUCUGCUAAUACCGCAUAAGCACACACUGCCGCAUGGCAGAGGGUGAAAAGAGAAUCGCUAUGAGAUGGUCCCGCGUCUGAUUAGCCAGUUGGCAGGGUAAGAGCCUACCAAAGCGACGAUCAGUAGCCGAUCUGAGAGGAUGAACGGCCACAUUGGGACUGAGACACGGCCCAAACUCCUACGGGAGGCAGCAGUGGGGGAUAUUGCACAAUGGGGGGAACCCUGAUGCAGCGACGCCGCGUGAGUGAAGAAGUAUUUCGGUAUGUAAAGCUCUAUCAGCAGGGAAGAUAAGACAGUACC